rnacentral:rRNA from 1 species
GAUGAACGCUGGCGGCGUGCCUAAUACAUGCAAGUCGAGCGAACAGACUAGGAGCUUGCUCCUCUGACGUUAGCGGCGGACGGGUGAGUAACACGUGGAUAACCUACCUAUAAGACUGGGAUAACUUCGGGAAACCGGAGCUAAUACCGGAUAAUAUAUUUAACCGCAUGGUUCAAUAUUGAAAGACGGUUUUGCCGUCACUUAUAGAUGGAUCCGCGCCGCAUUAGCUAGUUGGUAAGGUAACGGCUUACCAAGGCAACGAUGCGUAGCCGACCUGAGAGGGUAAUCGGCCAAACGGGAACUGAGACACGGUCCAGACUCCUACGGGAGGAAGCAGAAGGGAAUCUUCCGAAAUGGGCGAAAGCUUGACGGAGCAACGCCGCGUGAGUGAUGAAGGUCUUCGGAUCGUAAAACUCUGUUAUUAGGGAAGAACAAAUGUGUAAGUAACUAUGCACGUCGUGACGGUACCUAAUCAGAAAGCCACGGCUAACUACGUG